AGUUUUGCUGGCUUUGCAGUCAGUUGGUGAUCCUCAUUGCUGUGCAAAUCCACGCAAAACUGA
rnacentral:pre_miRNA from 1 species